rnacentral:rRNA from 1 species
GACGAACGCUGGCGGCGUGCUUAACACAUGCAAGUCGAACGAAGAGCGAUGGAAGCUUGCUUCUAUCAAUCUUAGUGGCGAACGGGUGAGUAACGCGUAAUCAACCUGCCCUUCAGAGGGGGACAACAGUUGGAAACGACUGCUAAUACCGCAUACGAUCUAAUCUCGGCAUCGAGGAUAGAUGAAAGGUGGCCUCUACAUGUAAGCUAUCACUGAAGGAGGGGAUUGCGUCUGAUUAGCUAGUUGGAGGGGUAACGGCCCACCAAGGCGAUGAUCAGUAGCCGGUCUGAGAGGAUGAACGGCCACAUUGGGACUGAGACACGGCCCAGAUCCUACGGGAGGCAGCAGUGGGGAAUCUUCCGCAAUGGACGAAAGUCUGACGGAGCAACGCCGCGUGAGCGAUGACGGCCUUCGGGUUGUAAAGCUCUGUUAAUCGGGACGAAAGGCCUUCUUGCGAAUAGUGAGAAGGAUUGACGGUACCGGAAUAGAAAGCCACGGCUAACUACGUG